UGGUGAGAGCACGUGGUGAGGAGACAGAUUCUCGCCACGCCACCUGGUAGGAGCGACCUGUCAGGUAGGACGCAAUCCAAGCGUGGGCCGCGCCGGAGAUGCAAUCUCCUUAUCUUGUUGUCUUGUCACUCUUCUCAUUCUUUCUCCCCUCUUCUGUCUAGCAUCCCUCUUAAAACACACACAAAGACACACAUACAUAGAGGUAAAGAGAGACAAACACACACACACGCACGCUCACACACUCAGCGACAGAGAGCGACACACACACAGAGACAGAGAGCGACACACACGCACAGAGACAGAGAGCGACACACACACACACACACACACACACACACACACAUCCCUCAGACAGGAUUAUCCCACUCUCACAAGUUGAUCCUCCGGUAAGCGCUGCCAGUCCCCUGUGAGCAUGUAACAGAAGCACUGCAGUCAGGGCAAGGCUGUGACCUAGAGAGUAGUGUGUUUGUGUGUGUGCGUCUCUGUUUGUGUGUGUGUACUCCUCUGUGUGUUUGUGUGUGUGUGUCUCCCGCUGUGUGUUUGUGUGUGUCAGGUCACAGGCCAAGGUAUCCUACCUGAUCCGCUCUGAGGGAAUCGGCCUGCGAGUACAUUAAGAGAUUGCGGUGGGACGCCGAGCUGAGGCUCACUGGCUCGACUUAAAGACAUACACACAUAAUCCUGGCUGCUCUGCUCCACCUAACAAGGAUACACGUGGCAGGCGUGCCCCUGUCCUUGGGCACCCUUACCCGCCCUAAAGUUACUUCAUCUGCCAACUGGAUAAAGAUAGAGAGGGGUACACAGAGACGAGAGAGAGGAGUACACAGAGACGAGAGAGAGGGGUACAGAGACGAGAGAGAGGUGUACACAGAGACGAGAGAGAGGGGGAGAGAGAGAGACCGACAGAUGGAGGGAGAGAGGGAAGCAGACAGUAGAGAGAGGUGACAGGACAGAGGUUACCCCACACCAUCAUGCCAUCCUGCCCAGCCUGAUCACACAAAGCACAGUCAAAGCACACCAACACCUAACCAUGCACUUUAACUAUGGAGGCUUGAGAUCUGCAAGUGUAUGGUAUGUGUUUUGGUAUGCUAUAAAAUGCUAUGUAUAAUAAGGUAUGCUACGUAAUUCCGUGGACUGUUCAUUUUGAUGUGAUAAUAAAUUGAAUUGCAUGGAGACAAAA